rnacentral:rRNA from 1 species
CCAGACUCCUACGGGAGGCAGCAGUGGGGAAUAUUGCACAAUGGGGGGAACCCUGAUGCAGCGACGCCGCGUGGGUGAAGGAGCACCUCGGUGCGUAAAGCCCUAUCGGCAGGGAAGAAACAGACGGUACCUGACUAAGAAGCCCCGGCUAACUACGUGCCAGCAGCCGCGGUAAUACGUAGGGGGCAAGCGUUAUCCGGAUUCACUGGGUGUAAAGGGAGCGUAGACGGCGACGCAAGACUGGAGUGAAAGCCCGUGGGCUAACCCCGGUACUGCUCUUGGAACUGCGCGGCUGGAGUGCAGGAUGGGGAGGCGGAAUUCCUGGGGUAGCGGUGAAAUUCGUAGAUAUCAGGAGGAACACCGGUGG